CCUUCCCACUCCGACACGGAGGCAGUGGCAGUGGCAGUGGCAGUGGCAGCUGUCCUGUAAACGAGCGACGUGGCGGCGAGAUCGUGGGUGGCUGCACCACUUCACGCUUUCAGUUCAACCUUCGUUGGUCGCUCCUGUGGCUCCGGCAGUGCUGUCAUUGGACUGACAGAAGAAGAAGAAGAAGAAGAAGCAGGACAAGAAUGAGUAAAUGACCCCUCCACUGUACAUGUAUCGUCUUCAUCCGCAGAACCCAGAUGCCUGAUUCGUCGUGAAGAUUGGUGGUGGGUUUUUUUUCUCCAUGACAGCGAUUCCGUCUUCUUCUUCUUCGCCGCCGCCAUCGUCGUCACCCCAUUUCGCCGCGCUUCUUCAUUCGUCGUCGUGCUCGUACUCGGGCUUGACCGGCUGUCGUGCCAUGUGCGCACGCUUCAACCGGAGGAGACUCGACGGGGACGGGCACUGCGUCAAGUUGGUCGUGGUCAUGGCGAAGAAGAAGAAGCCCUCCUCCUCCUCCUCUUCUCCUUCUUCUUCUUCUUCUUCUUCAUCCCAGGCUUCUGAACCGACACCUCUGAGAAUUACAUCGAAUGUCAAGCAGAAUUUGCAGUUUCUGAGGCUGUGGAAGGAUUUCCAAAAGAGGAACUCUGGCAUACCUAAGCCUGCUACCAGCUACCGCAGGAAGAAGUUGCCGAAGGAAGACCUUCCGGAUGAUGACAUGGAGCUCUACGGUGAUCCGACCCUUGCCCUCUACCAUACGAAUCAGGGUAUAGAAGAUGCGGUACCUGUCUUGCUCGUGGAUGGUUAUAACGUGUGUGGCUAUUGGGCAAAGCUGAAGAAACAUUUCGUGAGUGGCAGACUAGAUAUUGCGCGGCAGAAGUUGAUCAACGAACUAGUUUCAUUUAGCAUGCUCCGAGAGGUAAAGGUGGUGGUUGUAUUUGAUGCCAUGAUGUCAGGACUUCCAACACACAAGGAAAGUUUUAUUGGUGUUGAUAUAAUUUACUCCGGUGAAUCUUGUGCAGAUGCAUGGAUAGAGAAAGAGGUUGUUGCGUUGAAGGAAGAUGGGUGCCCCAGGGUUUGGGUUGUGACUUCGGAUCGCUUGCAGCAGCAAGCAGCGCAUGGAGCAGUAUGUGUUAUUGUUGAGUUAGAUUAUCAAAAGAUGUUUCAAGGAGCACGCACAAUUUCCUAAACAGACCUGCCAUGCGUCCUCUCACACUGUUCAGAUAAUUAUCUUCCGUCAAAGCUACCACAAACUUAAUGAUUGCGUGAUACUUGAGCUGAACAGUGAGCGCAAAUUAAUUCAAUUGUACUCUUGGCUUUUGCUGAACGAAAUGUCUAGACUUCGUAGAAGUUGUAAAUCACGUCAAUGACAUUAUGGAACUAAAAUCACCAGAAGUUGACAUGUAUUAUGGGCUGACUCAAAUUUUGAUUGACUAACAAUGCGUGGACUCGUGAGCUUUAUCCAAGUGCAGAUUAGAGGUUAGCCCGUGAUUUUCUUGCCAACACAUUAUGUAUCCCGUGAGUUCCAUUGUAGGUGUCAUUAUUCACUUUUCUUAGCAACUCUCAGGCCUUUAGUUUUACCCCAAAUAUGAAGUGCUCAACUUUAUCUGACAAUACACAAUUUCUUCUUCAUUUAAACCUCAGCCUUAACUUUUUGUGUUUGUUGUUUGAAGAUGCUUUAUAUAUCAAAUGUCAUAUUUUACACGGUCCAUGUUAAUUUCCAGUGCUAAUGUAGUUAAAAACUCAUUCUUGUUUGAUAGCCUCAUUGUUUUGAGAGCACGAAUAAUUGGUAGUGGCUGAUGGUUUAACGUAUGAAGAGAACUCUCAGCUUGUGGUUCAUGAGCUUGUAGUUAAGACUUGUAGCUUGGUCUUUCAUAUUAUAUGGCCCUCUCUGUCAUAUCAGAUGUUUAUUGUUAAGUACUGCAGGCAUAGUUAAGUAAGUGUUUCCUAUUCUAUGAAUCCUCUGAUAGUUUGCUGUGAUACUUUUAGGGAGCCUUUGUAUGGAGUUGCAAAGCAUUGGUUUCUGAGAUCAAAACAUAUCACAAGGAAGUGGAGAGGAUGCUUCAGGAACAAAGGACAAGUUCUUUUCAAGGAAAACUGUUGAAGCACAAUCUUGAUUCGGAAGUCGUAGAUGCACUCAAGGAUCUGAGGAAACAGCUUUCCGAAAA